rnacentral:lncRNA from 1 species
UUAAUGGUCUAAUGAUAAUUUGACGUGGCACAUUAAAUCAUAAUUUCAAACAAAAAUUUGAAGUUAAAUUAUUGGUUCCCAUAUUUUUCAUUUUGAGUAAUUUAAUUUUUUUCUUUUAUGUUCUUUUAACUUUCCUUUUUUUUUCUUUAUUUUUCAUUCUCUUCUGCUUCUCUCUCUGUUUUCCUCUCUUUUCCAUCUAUUUUAUGUUCUUUUAAC